rnacentral:rRNA from 1 species
UACCAGCACCCCGAGUGGUCGGGACGUUUAUUGGGCCUAAAGCAUCCGUAGCCGGUUCUACGAGUCUUCCGUUAAAUCCAAACUGCUUAACAGGUGGGCUGCGGAAGAUACUAUAGAGCUAGGAGGCGGAGAGGGCAAGCGGUACUCGAUGGGUAGGGGUAAAAUCCGUUGAUCCAUUGAAGACCACCAGGUGGCGAAGG